rnacentral:rRNA from 65 species
AAAUUGAAGAGUUUGAUCAUGGCUCAGAUUGAACGCUGGCGGCAGGCCUAACACAUGCAAGUCGAACGGUAACAGGAAGCAG